GACGAACGCUGGCGGCGUGCUUAACACAUGCAAGUCGAACGGAGAGGCCCUGCUUUUGUGGGGUGCUCGAGUGGCGAACGGGUGAGUAACACGUGAGUAACCUGCCCUUGACUUUGGGAUAACUUCAGGAAACUGGGGCUAAUACCGGAUAGGAGCUCCUGCUGCAUGGUGGGGGUUGGAAAGUUUCGGCGGUUGGGGAUGGACUCGCGGCUUAUCAGCUUGUUGGUGGGGUAGUGGCUUACCAAGGCUUUGACGGGUAGCCGGCCUGAGAGGGUGACCGGCCACAUUGGGACUGAGAUACGGCCCAGACUCCUACGGGAGGCAGCAGUGGGGAAUAUUGCACAAUGGGCGGAAGCCUGAUGCAGCAACGCCGCGUGCGGGAUGACGGCCUUCGGGUUGUAAACCGCUUUCGCCUGAGACGAAGCGUGAGUGACGGUAAUGGGUAAAGAAGCACCGGCUAACUACGUG
rnacentral:rRNA from 1 species